CUUGAUUAGUUUAUGUAGUUAGGGAUACAAAGUUGUACAAUUGAUGUUUUCCGAGAGUGCAUCUUGCAGUCUUGCACUAAAAGUCUUGUGCAAAGGAGAACUAGCGUUUUGAAAAGUGUCCGGGUUCCUGCGCCCUAGGCCUAGCUGUGAAAAUUGUCUGUGGUUGCUACUUCAGGCCAAUACAUCACCAACGUGUGAAAUAGUUUUUAUACUAAGUCAAAGUCGCUGCUGACAGUCUCUGAACAUACCGUAAGGGUCGAACCCAAAGAAACGUAGUCUAGACUCUAUCCCAGUGAACUAUAAUAAUAAUAUUCCUGUGAUUCCUAUCCUGUUCGCAGGCAAUGGGCAGAAAUCAGUGGCAGAAAUUCCCGCCCACUGAGCUUAGUAUAUAUAUAGCUCAGUGUUCCCGUCCAAUGUCCCCGUGUUCCCGCCGCGCGCAUGACUAAUAGUCGCCAUGGUUACUAGUCUUGUUGAUUUUGUUUAAAUUUAAACUUUAAAAACAAGUGGAGUAAACUAGCGAAACAAACUGCAAUAGAACUCGACGGGAUAUGGAAUGGUCACAAUAUAAAUGAUCGUUUUGAUGUAAGAACCAUGGAUGACACUAAACUGAAAGGAGAUGCAAAGUUGGAAAAUUGUCCACCAGGAAAGAAGGAUAUGUCUGUGUUGCAGGCAAUUAUUGAGGGCGUUAACUGCGAUGUUAGCACUCAAACUAAUAGAAGCACUGACAAUUCUUCGCCCUCCAGUCCAGCGAUAGGCGAGCAUAUCUCCAAUAGGCCUAGCAGUAAAAGUAAGAAAUCGUCAUUCAGAAUAUUCAUUGUACCCGAUUAUCCAGAGGAUGGUGCGUUUCAAGACACGAGUAUGCGAUUAUCUUUUGACGAAGAACACCUGGGGGAAAAUGGCCAGUCAUUGCGUUUUUCCGUUACGUCUAAUAAGUCGAAGGAAGGAGAGGAAACCUUGAAAUCCCGGUAUGAGAAUAAUGAAAAAAAUAAAAGAUACAGAAGCACGUUCAAACAGGGCGAAAACUCCAGGAAAGGUAAAAACACAGCUUCACCCGUGAGUUUCGAGAAUACCAAUCGAAACACGAACAGCGACCAUCACCUCGUACAUUCGUCAAAUCCUAGUGUGCUAGCUUGGUUGAGAUUGAAGAAUUUUGAAGAACGCGAAAAGCAAAGGAAUAAGAAGAAAGAAAGAAAGGAGAAGAGGCGGAAUGCGUAUGAUGAAGCUGAAAAAAAACAGAAGCGUAUCGAAGAAAGCGAAAAGCGAUUCGCACAGUGGUUGACUGCUAAAAAGAAAGAAGCGAGACGUGCACGCAGAGAAAAACGCAUUAGGAAAAUUGAGGACAUUGUACAAAAUUGUGCAGUUGGAAAGGAUAAUGAUCCACCUCCAGACUAUACAGUUGUACCCACUUUUAAAGGUAGUCAGGCUUGGGUUGUAGGAGAGGAGGUUUCGCUUAGUUGUGGAAAAAGAAGUGCCAAUACGAGUAAGAACAACACAAAUAAUAAUAAACUGACCUUAACCGGUGCCGAUAAAUAUCAUGACAAUAUUACCGAGCCAAGUACAUCACUGGAAGCACAAUCGAAAACCGAUGAUCAAGGGCCGCCUUCUAUUGGUAAUGUGGUGGGAAAUCUUUCAGUGGAUCAGGCCUACCUGGAUAGAGGCAGUAGUGAGAUCUAUGAUAAAAGACCUGCAACAGCUAACAGUAGAUUGCUUUCAAUAAGCGGUAUGGGUAGUAAGUUAUCAAAAAAGGGUACGCCAGAGAAAUGGCUUGAAAAAGAAAGCUUCAAAAGACCCACUACUUCGGCUGGAAGACCAACAAGCAAUGCAGAGAUAAAAGAGGCAACCCAAGAAGCGUGGGUCAUGCAAAAGCGAAAAGAACGGAAAUGGAAAAGACCCAUAACUGCACCGGCGUCGCACGGUGACUCUGAAUGCGUGAAAAAGCCUUAUAAAAAGUCGAUCACUUUCGAAACAUGGAAGGCACAAAAGAUACAAGAAAUCAAAGUGAAAAAGAAAGACAAGAAACGGCAAGAGGUCGAUGACGCUAUGACUGAAGCAAUAUUAAAAAUGGGGAGAAAAAGAGUUGACAAUUCUUUCAAAGAAAAAAGACAACUUGAUACAGGAAUGCCAAAGUGGCGAGCUAAAAACAGGGUUGGGAGUAGUAGCGAAAAGAAAAGGGCUGGUUUGUCAGAUACAUCUUCUAACAAGUACGAAGUCAUUAAUUUUUUGACGAAUGAAAAUGACGAGGAAGAAAAGGACAAGCAAUUAAAUGAAGUCGCAGCAAUACAGAAAUUUUGUGAGGAUUUAACGUUGGACUAAGAAAAAAGUACAUUAGUGCAGAACACUGCAAAAAGGAAGUGUGGUCCGGCUGUUUUACCCUUUGGAAUAAGAGCUAUGAUUAUCUAUCAUAACAUAAUUGUUCUCGACGUCGACUUUCUGAUAUUCAUAUAUACUGUAUGUUUAUGCUACAAUUCUGGAUGCUAGGUGUCGCAUACACUAUGGUAUGAUAAAUCAUUGGGUAUAUAUUUCCAGCUAUGUUUGGAUAUAUAUCUGACCCAAAGUCACCACGUAUUCGUGUACCCCUUGGUCGAGCCUGAAUGGCGUGCAGCUGUUCGCGUUGGUGCAAAGUCCCAUGAAGUCAACAGAAUCACUUAAGCUGAACAACACUGGCGAUCGAUGCAGGAAAAACAGUGUUACCAAGUCUUCGUCGCCAGCUACAUUUCUUGUCCAUACUGCUCAGAAUCUUUCAUGCUGACUCGGAUUGACCUUAUUAAUUGAGACUGGCCUCCAGGGUGUCCAGAUGGCCCUUGUCUUACCAACGGACACACAAGAGGGGGCAAGCCCAAAAAAAUUUGAAUGCCAACAUUGAGAUUUUCCGAUUGAUCGAUCAGACAAAGGGACAAAAGGUAAAGUAUUCAAAAGUCGUACCUUAAUUGGAA
rnacentral:misc_RNA from 1 species